CAAACAUGAAAAUGGUUUCAUAAAGAUUGAUAAUAUCAAGACCUGAUUCAGAAUGUAAUUUACAUUCUUAAGUAACAUGGUUUCGCUAUUGAUUAACAUUUGUUUACAAGUUUCGUAAGAGUAUGAUAUGGGAAGAAAAGUGAAGUAGAAUAGAACUAUCUUAUGACAGAAUAACGCUAACUUUUUUUUAGCAUUUCCUAGGUUUUGCUCUGUGCUAAGUACAUUUGGUGUACAUACCUUGUAUCAUUUCAUCGACCAACAGCAAAUAUCUAAGGCAAAAUCUAUUACUAUCUCCAUUUCACAGAUGAGGAGUAUGAGGCAGAGAGGGUGUAAUUUAUCCUGAGUAUACAGCCGGAAAGCUGAAUCUGAACACAAACAGUACUCCACAGAACUCUUGCUUUGGAACUCAAGCUACCAAAAGAUAAGGAUCUUGGCUGAUGACACAAAAAGAAAACCAAGUGCAGAGUUGGUGCCUAGUGAGAAAUGGAUGGAAGGUGAUUCUGUAGAAAUUGCAAGUGCAAGCAAGUAAGAGAGUGUAUUCUCUUAAGUCUUCAUUAUUCACCACCCCCCCAUUGUAAGUAGAAAAAUGAGUUUUGCAUUUACGUGUGUGUGUGUGUGUGUGUGUGUGUGUGUG
rnacentral:lncRNA from 1 species